UCUGUGCCUGUGGAUAACUGAGUGUCUGUACAUACACGGAUGCACAGGCUCUUUGGAGGCUGUCGGGAGUGUGGCUGUGUUGGAAGAGCUUCAGCAGGAGGAGGUUCUGCAUGGGGGUGCUGGCGGGAGCAGCAAUCACAGGCGUGCACUGAUGAACUCAUGUGUUGAUCCAGUCCAGGAGGGAUAAAUGCCUGUGCUGUGAAAUGCAAAAAAAGCCUUGGUAAUCUGAGACAAAGCUUUCUGUUUAACAGAAAAGGCCAAUGAGAUAAUUUCAAUGACUCAAGAUUUAGUUAGAAUGUUCCAUAUUUAUUGAGAAUAUUCUGUACUGUCCAGACAUUUCCCUGCAGUUCGAAUACCCUACAUAAAGCACAGUUGCUGCUUUUGGAUUCCCUGUUCUCUCUGUGUGAAUUGCUAAUCCUCGGCUAAAAGCCAGUUAGUCUCAGUUUGACCAGUGUUCCUCAGUCUCAGUUUGACCAGUAUUCCACCCCUCUUCCCUCCACUUCCCAACAACUCCAAGAAAUCUGCUGACUGGUUACUCUGAAAACCUGAAAAUAAGCCAUGCUGAAGUGGUGACAAAUUCCCUAAACCAGAAACUCCACUUUAAAAUGAUUGGUGUGUCUGAGUGGGUCUCUUUUUUCCUUUGUUUUUUAUCAAGUUAGAUGGUUUUACCCAGCAGGGAAAACUGAGAAAUCCAGAAUGGAGUCAUAUUAAAACAAAAAGAAUAUUAGCUACAGGAUGCUGGAUGUCUGCCCACCUGCCUGGUGCUCAAUACAGCGUUGUUUCUUUGCCUGAGUAUGGGAAGACGCUGAACCUGUCUGCUUAAGUUACUGAGAAUCCUUCAUGAGGGUUGGAUGUGUGUGACCACCAGUGAUUACUGUGUUGUGAGGUUUCUCCCAUGCACAGGUUCAUGCUGCCAGCUCGGUUGUCCUCUAAAUGAUAAGCAAGUUCUUUAGCAAAAAUUGGAGGUCAGGGUGGGAGCCUGCUUGGUCAGGGGGAUUACAGCAAAACAGCAAUGGGAUUUCAAGGCUUUUCCUACCCGGAGGGACUGGCAAUAUCACCACCAGGCAACCUCCCCCCUACCCACUCAAAUGAGAUACAGCAGUUUAUCAUGUCAAGCCUUGCUGCUGAGCGCUGUGUCUAGGGCCUCUGGCUGUCAGAGGCAGGAUUUCAUCUUGGGGUCCCUAAGGCCAUAUAGAAAGCCUAAAAUGUUCAUUUAUGUUUCUUAUUGUCUGGCCAAAUCUGUGUGUGCUUAAAAAAUAUCCAGAAGUUUAAAGGCUAAUCCCUGAUUAUUGUGGUUUAGGAAUUUAAUUGGCAUUAUAAAAAGUUAAAUACAUUUAUAGUUAUAAGCAGCAAUGUCUUUGUCAGCUCUUAGUUACUCGAUAUAAACUGUUUAUAUACAAAAUGUUUCCUUCUGUGAUGUUACUUUCGGAGCUCAAUCUCUCAUUACUGUUUUGCAAAGCAGCUGCAUUAAAGAUAAAUAUCACUAUAAGGGUCUAAUUCAUAGAGGUAUCUGUAAAGAUGGAUGUGCAGUGCACGAGUACUUACACAUAGGGGAAUUUGCACCUUGGUUUAUCAGGAUUUGUGAUAUGUUUGUGAUCACAGAUGCUGCGGACAGUAUUCCUGUAAUCAUCACCGUGUUUCUAACAUAUAGAUUUAUGUGCUUUAUGUAUAUCUGCAGUGUAUCUCUGUAGCCAUAACUUAAUCUGCUGUUCAGAAUUUAUUUCAGCUUUCCACAUGAGCUCUUUUAAACCACGUUAAUUGUUGCAGAACCCAAAUCGUUGAUGAUAACUCUUUUAGGAAUUGUCAUGUUGUCUAUAAAUAUUUAGCGACUGGAUUGUAUUUGCCAGUGUAUUCCUGUAUUACAGAUGAAAAGGUAGCAUCUGCUGAAAUUAAAAGUGGCCACAUUUUCGCUGUAGCUUAAUUAAAUGCCAAAAUUUAUCUACA